GAAACAUGCACAGUCUGUGCACCUUCACGGAAAAACUCUAGAAUUUUUCAAAAAGUCCACAAGAUCUUACACAGGUACUACAUAGCCUGUGCACAUCCUCAUUAAUUGGCUGAAGGAAGAAUUUUCUCACAUGCGUGAUUACCUUAGAUACACUAUUUUUGGGCUAACCUAGGGUUCUCUGUCAGGAGAGUAUAAAAGCUACUCUUACCUCAUUUUGCUGUAGGAAGAAAGAUUGAAAAAAGGAAGG
rnacentral:misc_RNA from 1 species